rnacentral:rRNA from 1 species
CCUACGGGCGGCUGCAGUGGGGAAUAUUGGACAAUGGGGGGAACCCUGAUCCAGCCAUGCCGCGUGUGUGAAGAAGGCCCUCGGGUUGUAAAGCACUUUCAGUGAGGAAGAACGCCUGGUGGUUAAUACCCAUCAGGAAAGACAUCACUCACAGAAGAAGCACCGGCUAACUCCGUGCCAGCAGCCGCGGUAAUACGGAGAGUGCGAGCGUUAAUCGGAAUUACUGGGCGUAAAGCGCGCGUAGGUGGCUUGAUAAGCCGGUUGUGAAAGCCCCGGGCUCAACCUGGGAACGGCAUCCGGAACUGUCAAGCUAGAGUGCAGGAGAGGAAGGUAGAAUUCCCGGUGUAGCGGUGAAAUGCGUAGAGAUCGGGAGGAAUACCAGUGGCGAAGGCGGCCUUCUGGACUGACACUGACACUGAGGUGCGAAAGCGUGGGUAGCAAACAGGAUUAGAUACCCCGGUAGUC